rnacentral:tRNA from 1 species
GGAGAGGUGGCCGAGAGGCUGAAGGCGCUCGACUCGAAAUCGAGUGACGGUUAACCGCCGUUCGGGGGUUCAAAUCCCUUCCUCUCCGCCA